GACGAACGCUGGCGGCGUGCUUAACACAUGCAAGUCGAACGGAAAGGCCCUGCUUGCAGGGUACUCGAGUGGCGAACGGGUGAGUAACACGUGGGUGAUCUGCCCUGCACUUCGGGAUAAGCCUGGGAAACUGGGUCUAAUACCGGAUAGGAGCCAUUUUUAGUGUGAUGGUUGGAAAGUUUUUUCGGUGUAGGAUGAGCUCGCGGCCUAUCAGCUUGUUGGUGGGGUAAUGGCCUACCAAGGCGGCGACGGGUAGCCGGCCUGAGAGGGUGGACGGCCACAUUGGGACGGAGAUACGGCCCAGACUCCUACGGGAGGCAGCAGUGGGGAAUAUUGCACAAUGGGCGCAAGCCUGAUGCAGCGACGCCGCGUGGGGGAUGACGGCCUUCGGGUUGUAAACUCCUUUCGCUAGGGACGAAGCUUUUGUGACGGUACCUAGAUAAGAAGCACCGGCUAACUACGU
rnacentral:rRNA from 1 species